GAUCAUGGCUCAGGAUGAACGCUAGCGGCAGGCUUAACACAUGCAAGUCGAGGGGCAGCGGGGAGUAGCAAUACUCCGCCGGCGACCGACGCACGGGUACGUAACGCGUAUGCAACCUACCUUUAACAGGGGCAUAACACUGAGAAAUUGGUACUAAUUCCCCAUAACAUUCGAGAAGGCAUCUUCUUGGGUUAAAAACUCCGGUGGUUAAAGAUGGGCAUGCGUUGUAUUAGCUAGUUGGUGAGGUAACGGCU
rnacentral:rRNA from 1 species